AGAGCGAACGCUGGCGGCAUGCUUAACACAUGCAAGUCGCACGGUCAGCAAUGGCAGUGGCGGACGGGUGAGUAACACGUAGGAAUCUAUCCUGGGGUGGGGGAUAACAGUGGGAAACUACUGCUAAUACCGCAUGAUACCUGAGGGUCAAAGGCGCGAGUCGCCUUGGGAGGAGCCUGCGUCUGAUUAGCUUGUUGGUGGGGUAAAGGCCUACCAAGGCGACGAUCAGUAGCUGGUCUGAGAGGAUGAUCAGCCACAUUGGGACUGAGACACGGCCCAAACUCCUACGGGAGGCAGC
rnacentral:rRNA from 1 species